rnacentral:rRNA from 1 species
AUUGAACGCUGGCGGCAGGCCUAACACAUGCAAGUCGAGCGCGAAAGGCCUUCGGGCUGAGUAGAGCGGCGGACGGGUGAGUAACGCGUAGGAAUCUACCCGGUAGUGGGGGACAACUUGGGGAAACUCAAGCUAAUACCGCAUACGCCCUAAGGGGGAAAGCGGGGGACCUUCGGGCCUCGCGCUAUCGGAUGAGCCUGCGUAGGAUUAGCUAGUUGGUGAGGUAAAGGCUCACCAAGGCGACGAUCCUUAGCUGGUCUGAGAGGAUGAUCAGCCACACUGGGACUGAGACACGGCCCAGACUCCUACGGGAGGCAGCAGUGGGGAAUAUUGCGCAAUGGGGGCAACCCUGACGCAGCCAUGCCGCGUGUGUGAAGAAGGCCUUCGGGUUGUAAAGCACUUUCAAUGGGGAAGAAAAGCGUACUGUUAAUAGCGGUGCGCCGUGACGUUACCCAUAGAAGAAGCACCGGCUAACUCCGUGCCAGCCGCCGCGGUAACAC